rnacentral:ncRNA from 2 species
AUCGUUCAUCUGUUUAGGCAGACGGAAGUAAGAAGUAAUAAUCUUCUGAAGGAACGCGCC